CUCUGGCACGAGCACCCUCUGGAUGCCUCCAUGUUCUUCCGGAGAGUGCUGGGCGGAAGUAACCACACAGGCCCAUCUCUCCUUGGAAGAGUGUGUCGAGCUGGUGCCGGGGGAACCUCCUGGUAAACUGGAACGGAGGCUGAUCGUGGAGGCGGCUUUGCAAGCGCUGUUCGCUGGGGCUGACUGCGGGGCAGCUCUGCCAACAACCUACGUGAUCCUCAUUAAAGGUCAUGCUGAAGAAACUCACAUUUAAUGACUGACGAUCCAGGUGACUGAGCAGCCUCGGAGUGUAUCCCAGUCAGAGAGGGGGAGACAAGAUCUGAUUUCACUUGAACCAAGUCCAGCAUCCUGCUUGUGAAACCCAGAGAGGGACAGACCCCCAAACUUCCUGCUGUCUUUGAACCAUUUUCGCGGAAAAGGCAUCAAACCCCCACUUACCCUUGGCAGACCAGGGAUCCGAG